rnacentral:lncRNA from 1 species
AUGAAAUACAUUCGAGAUUAACAAUCACAUUGAUCAAUCAAAUACAUGCCUUGUUUCAUAAGUUCUGAUAUGGAAAUUUCUUCAACAACAGGUUUUCCCAAUGGUGAUUUCCCUGUGAGAAAUUCUUGAGAUACGCGUUGCAUGGUAGGUCGAGACUUGGGUUUUGACUGCAAGCAUGCAAAUGCAACUAUUGAAACAAGAAUAAUAUCAUGAACAACCUUUCGAUCAAGUGGAGAUGGCAGACGUUGGUCUAAAAUAUCGAUCAACCUAAUCUUUCGUUCAGAUGAUGACGAUAAAGAUGAAAGAAGAUCUCCUGGAUGACUUCCCAUUAAUACUUCUAGUGCCACCACUCCAAAGCUAUAAACAUCACAUUUCUCUGUCACAGCCAUGGUGUAUGCAAGUUCUACAACAAAAUAGAACCCAUUGUAAAAUUUCUUUGCACAAGCAAAAAACAAAAUAUAUCUAUAUUUGAUUCACUGUUUCUGGAAGCUUCUGCAGCAAGAUAUUUAAGAGAUAUCUAAUUGAUUUUUAAAUAUGUUCAAUGCAUAAACAUGGGUAAGAAGCAUGAAAAGAAGAGCUAAAGGUUACCUGGAGCGAUAUAUCCAUAUGUCCCGAGCACUAGAGUUCUGUUGGAGGAAUCUGGAUGCAGGAGCCUAGCCAAACCAAAAUCAGCAACAAAUGCCUCUAGGUUUGAAUUAAGUAGAAUGUUAUUGCUGGAUAUGUCGCGGUGAACAAUUGGUGGCUUGCAGUCAUAAUGCAAGUAAGACAAAGCAUGAGCCAUACUCUUUACAAUGUCCACUCUCUUAGUCCAAUCCAGCUCAACAACUUCAACGUCAUUGCGUAACACACAGAACAAGCUUCCCCACUCCAUGUACUCAUAGAUCAAAAACAUGCACUGGUUAUGCAAACAAAAACCAUAAAGCUUCACUAUAUUACGAUGCCGUAUUUGGGAUAGUAGACGAGCUUCAGUUUGAAAACUUUUAAGGAAGGCUAGCUCCUCUGUCUCUGAACGGUGAAGUUUCUUCAAAGCGACUACUCUUCCACUAGACAAUUGUGCUCUGUAAACGCUGCCAUAACCUCCGGUUCCAAUGCAAUAUUUGAUGUGGAAAUCCUCUGUCGCUUGAAUCAUCUCUUCAAAUGUAAUUCUACCAUCAUAAUCCCAUAUUGAGAACUCAUCAGCGCACUUUUUCAUUUCUCGGGUAUUAGGAUUAAUUUUCUCAUCCAUUCGUCUGUGGACAAACAAGAUUCCAAAAAUUAAGGCAAGGAAUGCGACCAUGGGAAGAAUAAUUGUAACCAAGGGAGUAACGAUCUUUUGGUUUUUUCCUUUGUUGCCUUUAAAAUGUUGUGUUUGGGGUGGUGGUGCAUUUUCUGAAAUAACUGGGUUUUCUACCUCUAGAUUGUUUUCUGACCAUUUUAAUCCGGGCACUCUAAAGACAGAUUCGGGGAUAACGCCGGAGAGGUUAUUCUUGGAAACGUCCACUUCAGAAACGUUUGGAAUUUUUCCGAGUUGAGAAGGUAUGGUGCCAUUUAUGAAGUUAUGGCUUAAAUCAAGUUGUCUCAGAUGUAUAAGGUUGCCUAUCUCCGAUGGAAUGCUUCCGCUUAAACUGUUGUGGUUUACUGCCAAGUUCUGUAACUGCGAGCAAUUCAUGAGUUCUGGAGGAAUGGAGCUGUUGAGCUGAUUAUAACCAAGAUUCAAAGAGGUGAGGUUGGUUAAAUAACCAAUUGUUGGAGGAAUGGGUCCAAUUAGGUUGUUCCUAUCAAGAGACAGAGAAUCAAGAUACUUCAGAUUUCCGACUUCUCGAGGCAGCAGACCACUUAGUUGGUUUGAAGAAAGAUCUAGAGAUGUUAAGUAGGUUAAAUUUCCUAUGGUCGGUGGAAUUGGACCAUCAAGUCUGUUGUGAGACAAGCGCAACUCAUCCAACAAGUUUAAAAAACCAAUGGUCGAAGGAAUAGGUCCAGUGAGAUUGUUCCUAUUUAGAAGCAGAGAAUCAAGAUUCUUCAGAUUUCCAACUUCUUUAGGCAGUGGACCAACAAGAUUGUUGUAAGCCAAGUACAAAGUACUUAACUGAUUUAAAUGAUAAAGCGUUGAAGGAAUAGGCCCAGUUAGAUUGUUAUUAUCCAGAAACAGAGACACAAGAUUCUUCAGAUUUCCAACUUCUUGAGGCAGCCGACCACUAAGUUGGUUUAAAGAAAGGUCCAAAUGUGUCAAGUUAGUUAAAUUACCUAUGGUCGAUGGAAUUAGACCAUCCAGUUUGUUGCCCUGCAACCUCAGGUCAUAAAGAUCCUUCAAAUUCCCAAAUUCUAAUGGGAUAGAACCAUUGAGAAUGUUAUAAGACAGAUUCAGUUCGAGAAGAUCCCUCAAACUCCCGAUCUCUGAAGGGAUAGUACCUAUCAUAUAUAUAUAUAUACAUGCAAAUGAUUAAUUAAUGAUAAAUGAGCAAUAUUAUCCAGUACCGAUAGGAAAUUAUUGUAUAUGCAAUGAAAUUAUAUAUAAUAGUUACCUGUAAGACGGUUAUAGGACAGGUCAAGCACUUUGAGUCUUGAAAGAGCACCAAUUUCUGAUGGUAUCCUUCCGGAGAGAAAACGAGUGCCCCAAAUUCUGAAAGUUACGAGGUUGGGAAAGCAAGUGAAGUUGAGUUGGCUAAGCUCUGCUGCGUUGCCAUUAUUAUCCAUCUCGUCAGAACUUAUCUCAACUAUGCUUCCUGCUGAAUUGCAAGUGAUUCCCAUCCACUUGCAAUGAUCUGAAGUAUAGUUGGCCGUCGCCCGACUGCUAUUCCACCAGCCUGAAUUAAGUAAAGCUUCCCUUUCUAACUGUAAGGCUGACGAUGCAUCAGAUGCUGUUAGAACUGCAUUAUCAGUUAUAACAGGAACAAUAAUACUGCUUAUAAAAGUUAUAAUGACCACCAAUUUUGAAAUGGAGAAAUCCGGUGCCAUUUUUGUAAGUUUUUGGUUGAUUAGAUUCAGCGGGUGCAUGCCUGCUUUUAUAACUAAACAUUAAGUUUGACAGCAACACUCAAUCAUUUUUAGCCCGCGUUGAGCUUUCUCCCUCAUCGUCAAAAUUGGCAUGCGCGUUAUCAAACACAAGAGUCAGUUGAGUUAAUGUCUUUUUAGGCCACUAAUUCCUAUUUUUAAUUAAUUUCGCAAAGUAAAGGCUACAUGUGAUUCAUAUUCUAGCAACUUUCUAUUUCUUUCUUUACUUUUUAGUCCACUUUCCAUUCUCCCAAUUACUUUUCUAGAAUGGAGGAUUAUAUAUAUUCUAGUAACUUUCUUUUUCUUUCUUUUCCUUUUGGUACAUACUUUAUGCCCGAAUUUAGACCCCGACCGAAUUCCACCAAAUUGUUUUUGUUCUUUUCUUUUUUGUAAUUUUUUUUUUCGCCUUUAUAUGGGUUCAUUUGGGAUUUAUGUUCGGGGCGUAUAGGCAUAGCAUUGCUCUUUACUUUGUGUCCACUUUCCUUCAUCAUCAAAAUAUUCGAUAAUGUCGGGAAAUAUUAAAAUUUGUUCUUAAUUAACAAAGAAUUAAGCCGACUACCAUAUUUCGCCAAAAGUCAAAGGAAAAAUUUCCAUUCUCCGGUACAACAUAUUCUAUAAUUUAUAGUAAUUGUCUAUUUGGUAAUGCGAACGGUUAUUUACACUAAGCAAUAUUUUGAAUAUUUUGAGACCCAAGUCAUACUCAAUGCUAAAAAUAAAAUAAAUAUUUUUUCUUCGUACAGAAAAAAAUAUAAAUUACCAACAUGUGAUAGGAGUUCAUCGAUACUUAUAUCAUUAUCAUCAUCCAAACCUAUAUUUGCAUCGUCAAUUUGUCGAUCUAGAAAUGAGACUAGUACCUAUGUGCUUAAUAAAAAAAAUUAUUAAAAAAAUAUUACCUUUCAAGUAAUACAUUAUUUUGUUGUGUAUUAUAUACUAAAUCAAUGAUGUAUUCUAAAUAGAUGUUCACCCUCAAGUGGUAUCAGAUAUCUACAUCUAAAAUGAUGUGUCUUAAAAUUUAAUGAGAAAAAUAUACAUAUAUUCUAAGGUUUGGGGAAAUAACAUGCAUGAACCUUACCAUAUAAUAUAACUUUAUGAUCGCAUUUUGGUGGAUAUUAUGUAAUUCAUUAACUUUGUUGUCUAUUAUAUACUAUAUUAAUGAUGAAUUCUAACUAGAUGAAAUUCACUCCCAAGUAGUGUCUGAUAUGGCCAUAUCCAUGUGUCCUAUAACUUUACUGAAACAAAUUUUGGGGAAUUUAAGAAUCUUUUUCUUUUUAUAUUUAGGAAAAUUAAUAAUUCGAAGUAGCUGCCAUUUUAGUUGUGUUUAAAAUUGAUUGUCUUAAAAAUUUGGAAAAUAUAUGGGAAAAUUUUCAAAAUGAUAAAAGGGAUAAUGUAGACUGACACGUUUAAACAUGUGAACUCAUUAGUCGCCAAUUAUUUGAAACGCACGGCCAGGGGAUGCCGGGUGAUUAAACACGUGAGUAGAAAACUUUUCAGGUCACUGGCUUUUUCUGAGCCGACCACAAAUUAAAGCAAAAUUGGAGUCAAGGUCUUGCAGACAAGGAAAAGAAGACGUGUGUGUACUGCGAGUUCACAUUUGAGGGUUGACUGACAAAUUUGUCCCUUGUCAAGCUCGUCAAAGAAGCACCUAUAAAUUUCACUUGAGAAUAUAUAUAUUUUAUAUUUAUCCAAAGUGAAGGAUUUAAUUAAACAAAAUUCAGUCUCACGAAUGUUAAUAUACCGAAAAAAGUUAUACAAAAACCACUAUCAAAAUUUUGGAUAAUCUUGAGAAAUUUUAAAAUUUGUUCUUAAUUAACAAAGAAUUACGCCCAAUACCAUAUUUCGCCAAAUCUCAAAGGAAAAUUUUCCACUUUUCCGGUACAAUAUUUUCUAUAAUUUACGGUAAUUAUUAAUUGGUAAUGCCAAUGGUUUUUUACACUAAACAAUAUUUUCAGACCCAAGUCAUACACAAUGCUAAAACCAAAGUAAAUAUUUUUUUUUCAUUUGUACAGAAAAAAUAUAAAUUACCAAGUUCAUCAAUACUUAUUUCAUUUAUCAUCAUCCGAAUCUAUAUUUGCAUCAUCAAUUGUCGAUCUACAAAAGAGAAAUCAAAGAUGUUAAAAAUAUUUCUAAUAAUAAGAUAAAAAUUAAAUAUAAAGACUAGUACCUAGGUGUUUGAAUUAAAAAUAAUAAUCAUUAAAAAAUAUUACCUUUCAAGUAGUACAUAAUUUUAUUGUGUAUUAUAUACUACGUUAAUGAUGUAUUCCAAAUAGAUGAAACUCAUUCCCAAGUUGUGUCCAAUAUGGUGAUAUCCUUGUGUCUUACAAUUCCCAUAGGAUGCUAGAGCCAUAUGGAAGCAUAUAGAAGAUUGAUUGGUCGUGAUUAUUAACACUUUUGAAGGUUUAUUCUAUAUACAUGAUCAGCUGAACUUGUUCUCUUUAAUUUUCAUAAAUGCAUUGACACAGUUUUUACUUUUUGAUCAUUGGAUAUCCCUGACUUUAAGUUCAUCGAAUUCUAAACUAGGGAAUGCUGUUUGACUUACAACCAUAAUAGUUAGGAAGGUUAUAACUAGAUGGUCACAAUGGUUUUCAAUCACCGAUUGCUUUCUUACGGAACAGAAAAGAAAGGAAAGAUCAUAACUUCUCCCUCACCACCUUGUGUUAAUUGUCACUACUUAUUGUGGUUUAUUUUAUUUUUCAAAUCACAUUUGGUGACGGUUUCCAAUUCCACCAGCCGCAGAAAUCAAGUUGUAAUUCUAUUGUUUACAGAAUUUCAUUUCUGUUUACCAUUCAUCCUUGUAAUAUCAUAACAAGCAAUGUCAUACUUUUUACUUUUCAUAUUCUCAAAGUUCUUCAAAUCUUUUUAUUUCAAAUUGAAUGAAACAUUAAUUCUCAUUGGAUAAUCAACAUAUACUUGUCUUAGAGUCCUCAGGUGGACAACUUUUGGGGUUUUGGGUCCUCAUUUGUUGUACUAGUUGGUUCUUGAGGUAAAUAAAUCCAGGAUUCCUGAUAUUGAACAUUCAAUUUUCAUGUCUGAAACUUCCAAUAUCCAAAUUCACUCAUGCAAUACAACUACUCUAUUUUAAAUCAACUAGAUGGUUUCAGAUACAGAUUUUGUAUUUCCAACAUAAAAAAUCAUGCAAGCUUUUGAUACCCAAAAGACCAUGAUUGGAUUUUUUCUUCUCCCCUCCUCUCCCCUGUAUUGUCAAGUCAUCCAUAAAUUUUCUGCAAUGUCAGACUGUGCAAAAGGUAAUUUUAUCAGUGUAAGUGCUUGCAUUGUUCAUUUCUUCAGACAGCCAUUUACUGUGUCCAACAAUUCAUGCUGUGUUCACUAAUUAAAGCAACUACGGGUCAAGGUCAUUUUAAGUCGGGAAAAUGACUAGGGUGGUGUGAAUUCACACAUGAAACUUAAUUGGCAUAUUUGUCACUCGGCAAGCUCAAUGGACCCCUUUCAAAUUCACUUUAGAAUCUUUAUUUAUUCUUUAACCAAAGAUAAGGAUUUAAAUACAAAAAAUUCAGCCUCACGAAAGUUAUACAAAAAGCUAUUAAUGAAAUACAUUCAAGAUUAACAAUCACAUUGAUCAAUCAAAUACAUGCAUUGUUUCAUAAGUUCUGAUAUGGAAAUUUCUUCAACAACAGGUUUUCCCAAUGGUGAUUUCCCUGUGAGAAAUUCUUGAGAUACGCGUUGCAUGGUAGGUCGAGACUUGGGUUUUGACUGCAAGCAUGCAAAUGCAACUAUUGAAACAAGAAUAAUAACCUGAACAACCUUUUGAUCAAGUGGAGAUGGCAGACGUUGGUCUAAAAUAUCUAUCAACCUAAUCUUUCGUUCAGAUGAUGACGAUAAAGAUGAAAGAAGAUCUCCUGGAUGACUUCCCAUUAAUACUUCUAGUGCCACCACUCCAAAGCUAUAAACAUCACAUUUCUCUGUCACAGCCAUGGUGUAUGCAAGUUCUACAACAAAAUAGAACCCAUUGUAGAAUUUCUUUGCACAAGCAAAAAACAAA